rnacentral:rRNA from 1 species
GAUGAACGCUGGCGGCGUGCCUAAUACAUGCAAGUCGAGCGAACAGACGAGGAGCUUGCUCCUUUGACGUUAGCGGCGGACGGGUGAGUAACACGUAGGUAACCUACCUAUAAGACUGGGAUAACUUCGGGAAACCGGAGCUAAUACCGGAUAAUAUUUCGAACCGCAUGGUUCGAUAGUGAAAGAUGGCUUUGCUAUCACUUAUAGAUGGACCUGCGCCGUAUUAGCUAGUUGGUAAGGUAACGGCUUACCAAGGCAACGAUACGUAGCCGACCUGAGAGGGGGAUCGGCCACACUGGAACUGAGACACGGUCCAGACGCCUACGGGAGGCAGCAGUAGGGAAUCUUCCGCAAUGGGCGAAAGCCUGACGGAGCAACGCCGCGUGAGUGAUGAAGGUCUUCGGAGCGUAAAACUCUGUUAUUAGGGAAGAACAAACGUGUAAGUAACUGUGCACGGCGUGACGGUACCUAAUCAGAAAGCCACGGCUAACUACGUG